GGCGUGCCUAAUACAUGCAAGUCGAGCGAACAGAUGAGAAGCUUGCUUCUCUGAUGUUAGCGGCGGACGGGUGAGUAACACGUGGGUAACCUACCUAUAAGACUGGGAUAACUCCGGGAAACCGGGGCUAAUACCGGAUAAUAUUUUGAACCGCAUGGUUCAAUAGUGAAAGACGGUUUCGGCUGUCACUUAUAGAUGGACCCGCGCCGUAUUAGCUAGUUGGUAAGGUAAUGGCUUACCAAGGCGACGAUACGUAGCCGACCUGAGAGGGUGAUCGGCCACACUGGAACUGAGACACGGUCCAGACUCCUACGGGAGGCAGCAGUAGGGAAUCUUCCGCAAUGGGCGAAAGCCUGACGGAGCAACGCCGCGUGAGUGAUGAAGGUCUUCGGAUCGUAAAACUCUGUUGUUAGGGAAGAACAAAUUUGUUAGUAACUGAACAAGUCUUGACGGUACCUAACCAGAAAGCCACGGCUAACUACGUGCCAGCAGCCGCGGUAAUACGUAGGUGGCAAGCGUUAUCCGGAAUUAUUGGGCGUAAAGCGCGCGUAGGCGGCUUCUUAAGUCUGAUGUGAAAGCCCACGGCUCAACCGUGGAGGGUCAUUGGAAACUGGGAAACUUGAGUGCAGAAGAGGAGAGUGGAAUUCCAUGUGUAGCGGUGAAAUGCGCAGAGAUAUGGAGGAACACCAGUGGCGAAGGCGGCUCUCUGGUCUGUAACUGACGCUGAUGUGCGAAAGCGUGGGGAUCAAACAGGAUUAGAUACCCUGGUAGUCCACGCCGUAAACGAUGAGUGCUAAGUGUUAGGGGGUUUCCGCCCCUUAGUGCUGCAGCUAACGCAUUAAGCACUCCGCCUGGGGAGUACGACCGCAAGGUUGAAACUCAAAGGAAUUGACGG
rnacentral:rRNA from 1 species